rnacentral:rRNA from 1 species
UGGUGGGUUGCCUUGUCAGGUUGAUUCCGGUAACGAACGAGACCUCAGCCUGCUAAAUAGUGACGAUUGCCACGGCAGUCGGGCCACUUCUUAGAGGGACUGUUGGCGUCUAGCCAAUGGAAGUAUGAGGCAAUAACA